GCCUGGCUGGCUCAGUCGGUAGAGCAUGCGACUCCUCAUCCCAAGGUUGUGAGUUCAAGUCCCACAUUGGGCA